AAAGUGCAACUGUGUAAACCU
rnacentral:miRNA from 1 species